AUUGAACGCUGGCGGCAUGCCUUACACAUGCAAGUCGAACGGUAACGCGGGGCAACCUGGCGACGAGUGGCGAACGGGUGAGUAAUGCAUCGGAACGUGCCCAGUAGUGGGGGAUAGCCCGGCGAAAGCCGGAUUAAUACCGCAUACGACCUACGGGUGAAAGGGGGGGAUCGCAAGACCUCUCGCUAUUGGAGCGGCCGAUGUCAGAUUAGGUAGUUGGUGGGGUAAAGGCCUACCAAGCCGACGAUCUGUAGCUGGUUUGAGAGGACGACCAGCCACACUGGGACUGAGACACGGCCCAGACUCCUACGGGAGGCAGCAGUGGGGAAUUUUGGACAAUGGGCGCAAGCCUGAUCCAGCCAUGCCGCGUGCGGGAAGAAGGCCUUCGGGUUGUAAACCGCUUUUGUCAGGGAAGAAACGCCUUGGGCUAAUACCCCAGGGUAAUGACGGUACCUGGAGAAUAAGCACCGGCUAACUACGUG
rnacentral:rRNA from 1 species